rnacentral:lncRNA from 1 species
GCUGAUGGUUGUGUGGUGGUUUUAUCAAUCUCAUUCCUGUGCAUAAAAAAACGGGUUGCUUACUUACUGAUAUAAAAAUGUUUCUUGUUGUGGAAAUUUUGGAUGACUCCUUCAUCAAUUGAUAUAUCUUUAGUCUUUGUUUUAUUUUUCUGGUUAUUUUGACAUUUGAAUAUCUUUUAAUUUAGCCUUCCAUGGCGUAUCACCAUGAUCAAGCAUAACUACUGGUAUUAGUUAAAUAAUAUGUCUGCUGUCUGAAAUUUAGGUGAAUGGUUUCGGUAUUAACCACUUUUUAAAUAAUAUCAUAUAUGAGAUAUGUGGGAGUAUAAUUGUAUAAUUUACAUUCAGUUGGUUGUUUGGAGGCUUUUUAUAUCUUUUAAGGUCAUUUUUGGCAUGGUUCAUUAUUUAUAUAUUUUGUGUCCACGUUACAU